GACAGAGGGUGCAAACGUUGUUCGGAUUUACUGGGCGUAAAGCGCGUGUAGGCGGCUUUGCAAGUCGGAUGUGAAAGCCCACGGCUCAACCGUGGAAGUGCAUCCGAAACUGCAUGGCUUGAGUCUCGGAGAGGAAGGUGGAAUGCUUGGUGUAGAGGUGAAAUUCGUAGAUAUCAAGCAGAACACCUGCGGCGAAGGCGGCCUUCUGGACGAUGACUGACGCUGAGACGCGAAAGCGUGGGGAGCAAACAGG
rnacentral:rRNA from 2 species